rnacentral:rRNA from 1 species
GACAUACUAAGAACUUUCCAGAGAUGGAUUGGUGCCUUCGGGAACUUAGAUACAGGUGCUGCAUGGCUGUCGUCAGCUCGUGUCGUGAGAUGUUGGGUUAACGUCCGCAACGAGCGCAACCCUUUUCCUUAUUUGCCAGCGGGUAAUGCCGGGAACUUUAAGGAUACUGCCAGUGACAAACUGGAGGAAGGCGGGGACGACGUCAAGUCAUCAUGGCCCUUACGGCCAGGGCUACACACGUGCUACAAUGGUCGGUACAAAGGGUUGCUACCUCGCGAGAGGAUGCUAAUCUCAAAAAGCCGAUCGUAGUCCGGAUCGCAGUCUGCAACUCGACUGCGUGAAGUCGGAAUCGCUAGUAAUCGCGGAUCAGAAUGCCGCGGUGAAUACGUUCCCGGGCCUUGUACACACCGCCCGUCACACCAUGGGAGUUUGUUGCACCAGAAGUAGGUAGUCUAACCGCAAGGAGGACGCUUACCACGGUGUGGCCGAUGACUGGGGUGAAGUCGUAACAAGGUAGGCGUAGAUGA